rnacentral:tRNA from 1 species
GCAAUGAAAGCUAAAAUUAGCAUCGGUCUUGUAAGCCGAAGGUUGAAAGUAAAGGUCUUUCUUAUUGCU